rnacentral:rRNA from 1 species
UGAGGAAUAUUGGUCAAUGGACGCAAGUCUGAACCAGCCAAGUAGCGUGCAGGAUGACGGCCCUAUGGGUUGUAAACUGCUUUUAUAUGGGGAUAAAGUGGGGAACGUGUUCCCUUUUGCAGGUACCAUAUGAAUAAGGACCGGCUAAUUCCGUGCCAGCAGCCGCGGUAAUACGGAAGGUUCGGGCGUUAUCCGGAUUUAUUGGGUUUAAAGGGAGCGUAGGCCGCGUUUUAAGCGUGUUGUGAAAUGUAGACGCCCAACGUCUGCAUCGCAGCGCGAACUGGGACGCUUGAGUACGCGCAACGUUGGCGGAAUUCGUCGUGUAGCGGUGAAAUGCUUAGAUAUGACGAGGAACUCCGAUUGCGAAGGCAGCUGACGGGAGCGACACUGACGCUUAAGCUCGAAGGUGCGGGUAUCAAACAGG